rnacentral:rRNA from 1 species
CCUACGGGAGACAGCAGUUAGGAAUAUUCGUCAAUGGGGGAAACCCUGAACGAGCAAUGCCGCGUGAGUGAUGACGGUCUUAUAGAUUGUAAAACUCUGUUGUAAGAGAAGAAACCCUACUAUAGGUAAUGAUAGUAGGUUGACGGUAUCUUACCAGAAAGCCCCGGCUAACUACGUGCCAGCAGCCGCGGUAAU